rnacentral:autocatalytically_spliced_intron from 3 species
AUAAAGAUUCUUUUAAUAAAGGUUUAGAAUUAGCGCUACAAAUUAGAGGUUUAAAUCAUUAUCACAAAAAACAUUUUUCUAGUAACCCCGUAACGACUGACAUGGAAGGUACCAGAUAAUCUGGGAUACUAAACUUCCAUUACAUGUUGGCUCCCCCGAUCAAAUCGGGGGAUGAAGAUAUAGUCUGAUACUCCGAGGGAUCGGAGA